rnacentral:piRNA from 1 species
UGGUGUGUAUUUGUCUGGUGUCCGUUUG